UCAGGAUGAACGCUGGCGGCGUGCCUAAUACAUGCAAGUCGAACGAGAACCGGAGCUUGCUCCGAUUCGAGUGGCGAACGGGUGAGUAACACGUAGGUAACCUGCCUUUCAGUUUGGGAUACCCGAGGGAAACUUCGGCUAAUACCGAAUACGAAUUUAAGAGGCAUCUCUUGAAUUUGAAAGGGGCUUUCAAGCCCCGCUGAUUGAUGGACCUGCGGCGCAUUAGCUAGUUGGUGAGAUAACAGCCCACCAAGGCGAGGAUGCGUAGCCGACCUGAGAGGGUGAACGGCCACAAUGGGACUGAGACACGGCCCAUACUCCUACGGGAGGCAGCAGUAGGGAGUUUUCGGCAAUGGGGGGAAAAACCCCCUGACCGAGCAACGCCGCGUGAACGAUGAAGGUCUUCGGAUUGUAAACUUCUGUCCUUGGUGAAGAGAAGAAGACGGUAGCCAAGGAGGAAGCCCCGGCUAACUACGUGCCAGCCGCUGC
rnacentral:rRNA from 1 species